CAAGGAAUAUUGGUCAAUGGGCGAAAGCCUGAACCAGCGACGCCGCGUGAGGGAUGAAGGCCUUCGGGUCGUAAACCUCUUUUCCCAGGGAAGAAUAAUGACGGUACCUGGGGAAUAAGCCACGGCUAAUUACGUG
rnacentral:rRNA from 1 species